AAGUGGAGCAAUCCAUGAGUAAAGUGGCGCACGGGUGAGUAACACGUGACUAACCUACCUUCGAGUGGGGGAUAACCUAGGGAAACCUGGGCUAAUACCGCAUAACAUCUUUGGAGUGGAAACUCUGGAGAUCAAAGGGGCAAUUCGCUUGAAGAGGGGGUCGCGGCUGAUUAGCUAGUUGGCGGGGUAAUGGCCCACCAAGGCUUUGAUCGGUAGCCGGCCUGAGAGGGCGCACGGCCACACUGGAACUGAAACACGGUCCAGACUCCUACGGGAGGCAGCAGUGGGGAAUUUUGCGCAAUGGGGGAAACCCUGACGCAGCAACGCCGCGUGGAGGAUGAAGUCCCUUGGG
rnacentral:rRNA from 1 species